rnacentral:rRNA from 1 species
UACGUAGGGUGCAAGCGUUGUCCGGAAUUAUUGGGCGUAAAGAGCUCGUAGGCCGGUUUGUCGCGUCUGCUGUGAAAACCCCGAGGCUCAACCUCGGGCCUGCAGUGGGUACGGGCAGACUGGAGUGCGGUAGGGGGAGAUUGGAAUUCCUGGUGUAGCGGUGAAAUGCGUAGAGAUCAGGAGGAACACCCCGUGGCGAAGGCGGCCCCCUGGGUCGGCCCUGACGCUGAGGCGCGAAAGCGUGGG